rnacentral:rRNA from 1 species
UACGGGGGGGGCAAGCGUUGUUCGGAAUUACUGGGCGUAAAGGGCCAGUAGGCGGCCAACUAAGUCCGACGUGAAAUCCCCAGGCUUAACCUGGGAACUGCGUCGGAUACUGGAUGGCUUGAAUUCGGGAGAGGGAUGCAGAAUUCCAGGUGUAGCGGUGAAAUGCGUAGAUAUCUGGAGGAAUACCGGUGGCGAAGGCGGCAUCCUGGACCGACAUUGACGCUCAUGCACGAAAGCGUGGGGAGCAAACAGG